UUGUAGAGGAGAGGAAUCUCUCCUAUACCAUAAAAGCCUUCGGUGUGCGGCCGUGCUGCCUGUGUCUUUUUGGGCUGUUCUGGGCAUGCGCGGAGCACAUGCCCAGAUCGGCCGAAAAAGAUACGGCUGCCCAGACACGGGCGGCCAUUUUUUUUCAAAAGUAAGGGACAGACCGUGUUCUUUUAGAUUGAGGGCCAAAACGGCCCAUGUAAAUGCCGCCGCCGCCAACCGGCCGCCCACCCUCCCAGCUGUAAUUUGCUCCAACCCCCCGGCCACGUUUAAGGGCCAAAACGGCCCAUGACAAUGCCCCCGCGGCUGUCGCCGCCAACCGCCCGCCCGCCCUCCCAGCGACUUCCCUGCAUGAGGGCCCCACGAACCAGCUCGAUCUGCUCAUCCGCGCCAGUUAGGGGGUGACGUGGGACAGCUGGGGAGAGGGAAGGCACGAGCAGGGAAAGAGCUGCGCACGCUGCUCGCUCACUCUUCCCGGGGGCGGCACUGGCGCUGGGCUGGAGUAAUGGAGGGAGGACAGAUCCAGGAAGUGAUCACCUUGGCGUGCUGUGGACUGCAUUAGCAACCUGGCUAGGCUGCGCCAGAGAAGGCAACAGGCAGCGGCGGCGCCGGGCGGAGUGCAGGGGUGUGUGGGUGUAGAUGCGUGCACGGUUGGUGGGGCAGCGAAGCGUGCGGUGGUGCUGCUGCUCUUGGAGCCCAAACCAGGAAGAGUGCAGGGCGAUUGUUGUGCCUGCCCUCCCGCCAGCCACGCCACGCUGUCUGAGCGGAAAAGGCUGCUUCCUUCUCUCUGCGCCUCUUGGGCAAAAGGCGGCCCUUCCUCCUCCUCCUCCGGCUACUCCUCGAGUGAGGUGCCUCUGCUGGGAGAGGGGUGACAGGAAGGCAGACUGAUGCCAAUUAUGGGUUAUCCAUCUGAGAAAGGAUAAGAGCGAACAAGACCAGGAGCUCAGUUCUUAUCCCAGAAACAUGAUACCUGAUUUCUACCUGAUGUCCUAUAUACUCUCAGUUUUACUCCUCUAGCUGUGAGAUGCAAUACAUGAUUUUUGUUAUGUUGUCAGUC